UACCAGCACCCCGAGUGGUCGGGACGAUUAUUGGGCCUAAAGCAUCCGUAGCCGGUUCUGCAAGUCCCCCGUUAAAUCCAGCUGCUCAACAGAUGGGCCGCGGAGGAUACUACAGAGCUAGGAGGCAGGAGAGGCAAGCGGUACUCAGUGGGUAGGGGUAAAGUCCGUUGAUCCAUUGAAGACCACCAGUGGCGAAGGCGGCUUGCCAGAAUGCGCUCGACGGUGAGGGAUGAAAGCUGGGGGAGCAAACCGG
rnacentral:rRNA from 1 species